UAAAGAGGGUUCUUUAUUCUGACUCUUUCAGUUAUAGCUAUGAAGUCUUGUCGCAGAAGCAGCUUUUACUCUUCUUCUUCUUCCACCGUCACCUGCUUUAUGGAAAAUGACCAAUCUACCCCGGAGAUUAUCCAAAUUGCCGUUCAGUCCCCGCCGGAAAAUGAACUCCCAAACCUCUCAGCUCCGACCGGUACGGCUGCUGUUAAAAUACAGUCAGCUUAUAGGUCUUACAUAGUUCGUACCCUUGUAAAGAAGAUCGCGGCCGUCAAUUCUGAAGCUAACUAUUUACAGCGACUUAUCCAACGACAGCAGGAUACAGUUGAUGCCGUACGGUCCAGUGAGCGAGAGAGAAUCAGGAUGAACGAGGCACUAAUGGGUCUGCUAUUGAGAUUAGACUCAGUGCCAGGAGUUGAUCCAACAGUCAGGGAGCUGAGGCGACAUGUGAGCCGCCGGAUCGUGGGGUUGCAAGAGAUACUAGAUGCUGUUUCUGACACUAAGAUUCAAAACUGGGAUGGAUUUUUGAUGGACUGGGAUGAUGUUGUAGAGAGGAUGGAAAUGGAGGUUUGCAAAGAAAGAGGUGGUAAUGAAUUGGAGACGUUCUGUGCUGAGCAUUUGGGUUUUCGGUGCCUACAAAGAUUUCUCCGCGACCAAUAAUGAUACGAACCCUCAGAAAUCUGGUGCACUGUGCACAUACUGACUAUGGUCUGAUUACUCUUUUGGCCACAGAUGAUGUCUGUGUCCUUCAGAUAUGCAAGGAUAAGGAUGCUAGGCCUCAGAUUUGGGAGUAUGUGCCACCAUUAUAAGGGUGAGACAUGACAAGUUUCUUAGUUUUGUCCUCUGUUUUGUAAGUAAAGCACAAGUUAUAACGUGUAAGGUUUGAUACUGCUUAAGAAUCAUGUCUUCUCCUGCAGUAUCAAACAGAGACAGCUUGCCUUUUGUUAACAAUGUAAAAGUUAAGUUGAAAUCACCUAUGUAGCAUAAUAGAAGAUUUCACUCUCUAUAAUGUAAUAGACCGAUUAGUUUGCAACAGCAGUUUGUAGCUUUAGGGAAAGGCCCAGCAAGUUUGUAGCAAGUGUAACCAGUCAAUUAUUAUAAGGACUUGAAUGCAUGUUUUCCCUUGUGUCUUA